rnacentral:miRNA from 1 species
AGGGGAAACUUUUACUUUGAAG